CCCUUAGAUGUUCUGGGCCGCACGCGCGCUACACUGACGGAGGCAGCGAGCGUGUCCUUCGCCGGCAGGUGCGGGCAAUCUUGCGAGUCUCCGUCGUGCUGGGGAUAGAUGGUUGCAAUUGUCGAUCUUGAACGAGGAAUACCUUGUAAGCGUGAGUCAUCAUCUCACGCUGAAUACGUCCCUGCCCUUUGUACACACCGCCCGUCGCUCCUACCGAUUGAGUGUUCCGGUGAGGCUUUGGGAGAAUGGCCUCAACAUGAGUUUAUCGUGUUUUGCCGUUUGAACUUAGUCAAACCUUAUCACUUAGAGGAAGGAGAAGUCGUAACA
rnacentral:rRNA from 1 species